rnacentral:ncRNA from 1 species
AACGACCGGCUGGACACAUGUGUGUCCGGCCCACAAGUGGAGGCUCCGAUCUCCCACCUGGCUGCCCCAUCCGGGCGGCGGGUCACCGGUCAGGUGGCGCCCAUCGUUCCGUACGGACGAUGGAGCCGCCCGAAGCGCGCCCCGCGGUAGACGCGGCGGUGCUCCGGUAACAAGGAGCUGCCGCCUGUGUCCCGUCCGGGGCAUUUUUG